rnacentral:snoRNA from 1 species
AAACCGUGAUGCGGGCAAUCUCGUUGAUACUCCUUGAAUCUAACCCAUUCUGCUUUGAAAGCUUCAGCUGGAUCUUGGGUGAAGGUAGACAGCUUGUUUCUCAGCUC